rnacentral:tRNA from 1 species
AUUAGUAUGGCAGACUUAAUUGCAUUCGACUUAAGAUCGAUAAAUAAUCCCAAGGAUUUACUAACA